ACACAGCUCUACUUACGACGGCGA
rnacentral:siRNA from 1 species